AGAAUCAACGCUGGCGGCGUGCCUAACACAUGCAAGUCGAACGAGAAAGUGGAGCAAUCCAUGAGUAAAGUGGCGCACGGGUGAGUAACACGUGACUAACCUACCCUUGAGUGGGGGAUAACCUCGGGAAACCGGGGCUAAUACCGCAUAACAUCGAGAGAUCAAAGGAGCAAUUCGCUUAAGAAGGGGGUCGCGGCUGAUUAGCUAGUUGGUGAGGUAAUGGCUCACCAAGGCUAUGAUCAGUAUCCGGCCUGAGAGGGCGCACGGACACACUGGAACUGAAACACGGUCCAGACUCCUACGGGAGGCAGCAGUGGGGAAUUUUGCGCAAUGGGGGAAACCCUGACGCAGCAACGCCGCGUGGAGGAUGAAGUCCCGUUGGACGUAAACUCCUUUCGAUCGGGACGAUAAUGACGGUACCGGAAGAAGAACGCCCGGCUAACUUCGCGCCAGCAGCCGC
rnacentral:rRNA from 1 species